UCUUUUUCUUUUUUUUUCCCCCCUCUUCUUUUCAUCUUGGCUUUCUGUUGCAGAAUGCAAAUGUUCUCUGCCGGCGGUGAAAGGGCUGAAUUGUGAUUAAGAAGAAGAAGAGUUCCUUUCUUUGUUCAUCCCUUAGGGGAUGUUUACUGGGAGAGACACAGCGGAUCAGAUAUGAAAGGCAUUCAGACUCAAGAAACGGCUAAAAGAAAUCAUCAUGGCAGUCUGGUCUGAAUGGAUAAGAUGAGGAAAGAGAACAUCUACAUCAGUGGAGACCCCACUGGAUGUAAGAGCCCAAAGCAGUUAUUAAGGCUGAAUGAAUGGAAGAAUGAAGGCGCGAUGCAAGUGACCUCGGAGAGCUGACAAUAACGUUUUCUUAGCAUCAUUGAGAAACAAGAUAAGAAAUGGAAAUAAAGAAUAAAAAAAAAGAAAUGUAAAACAGCAGCAUAAGCAGCAAAAGAAGUCUGUGGAGACCCUUGAGUAAACCAUUGAGAGGUGACCCUCUGAGUGUUUUUGGAAAUAAGGUGACAACAGCUGAGGAAAAAAGAUCAAAAAGAGGGACAUUUAAGGAGCAAAGAGGGACAGAGGGACUUGGCUCAAAGAGAGGGACACUUGAGAGGUCUGCUCGACCAGUGGUCAUUUCCUGUGUGUCAAGAGGAACCGGAAAAUAGAGACCAACAGAAACCUGGAAAGUGAGUUGACUUGUGAAGUGCCUGCAAACCGUUUAUAUAAAGCCGCCCAUACCUGCCGAGAUGCUCUAAAAUCAGCAAGACGUCUCCCAGCUGUAACACCGACCAACACCCCUGUGCCACCAUUUAAGAGGCUCCGUCCCCCCCUGUGUUAUGUACUCAACCAAAUACUUUCCCCAUGUCAUGGCAUUGGGUGUGCUAUUACAUCAGCACAGUUUUUCGGUAUUAUUUAUACACUGUAUACCUCAUUGUUCUACUGUAUGGCGCCAUUACGUGUACACAAUAAGAUACUUUUAUGUAAGCUCUAUGGCGAUAUUAUACGGGCACGGUAUGUUACUGUUAUUCAUUAGCGUAUGGUGGUAUUAAUUAUGGCACUAUGUUAAGCAGUAUUACAGUAUAUUUUCGGAGUGGGGAAAUACUGUAAUAAUACUACUGAAAUAAUAGUUACAGAAUUAAUACCACCAUACAGUGACAGAUACAUAUACACAUUCCGGUAUUGAACAGCACUUUGUACUCACUAUAAGAUUUUUUUUUAUUAUGCUCUAUAUGGCAAUAUUACAUAGGCACCACAUGCUACUGUUAUUUUUCACUGUACGGUGGUAUUACUUACAGCUGUAUUUUAUGAACAGUAUUAUGGCAACAUUAUAUUUUGGAAUAUGAUUACAUUUUGAUAGGCACUCACUCACUUGGAUUUAUGUGGAUGCAGAAAUGUAUUCCUAAAAUAAAAUGAAAACGGUAAGAAUAAAAACGAAUAAAAUACAGCGACAUAAAUUUAA